AACAAACUAGGAAUAUGAGCAGGGAAAUGAGUAAGCACUCAACAAAGGGCUGAAGUAAAAGUGAUGUGAAAAUGAACAAAAAUGAGUUUUUUUCUGGCGCUGCCUUUUUAGUUUCCACUUGGGAGAAGCUUGAAGCUUUUUGCUCUGUCUGAUUGGAAGAAAGAGUUUACCUUCUAAAAAAGAGGGCUGGUUUCCAGGACCUGAAGCCUAGGAUAAACAGCACAGGACAGGGAAACUGCUCGGUCCAUGAGAGAAAUGCUACCUCUACAAUUGCUAACUCUACAAUUGCCCUUUCUCAGUGUAAUGGGCUGAAAACGAAACAAAACAAAAUGCCCUGGCACAAUCAGCUCCAGUUAGAGUUGUCACCUUGCUGCAAAUCGAGGCACUGUAUCUUGAAUAUGGUUUGACAUAUAUUGUCAUAUUCACCAUCCCUAAUACCUAAAUGGCAAAAAAUCCCUAUCAUCAGUCUCUUUAAAUAUGCAACUGAACCCUAAGCUGAAAUCACUGCUUCCCUUCCAGCCACUGGCACAGCUACCAACACAUUUCAUUAAACAGACAUGAAGCAAAGAGAGGGUAAAGCAACAAAUAUAACAUGUAAAAUAAAACAAAUAGUUUUCAAAUCUAUUUAAAACUUUCACUCUUGUCUCAUCCCUGUAGACAGUGGAAAUAAACAAGAUGUAAAAAUAAAGAAGUUGCUCAGUACCUUCCCCAGCACUAUAGGUAAAUUAUGUGUUUCUUCUGGAAGAGGUAUUUUAACACAGUGGGAUGUUCUUGUGUUGUGACAAGAUAAUGUGUGUGUAAAGCACUCUUAUAAUUUAGCUGUCAUACAGACGCGCCUACUCAAGUGCAUGUGUGUCAAUGGAGAAUUAGCUUUGAUCUGUAAAAUACAUCAGAUGGUUUCCAUUCCU
rnacentral:lncRNA from 7 species